rnacentral:rRNA from 1 species
GACAGAGGCCUCGAGCGUUAGGCGGAAUCACUGGGCUUAAAGCGUGUGUAGGCGGGCCCGUAAGUGUCUUGUGAAAUCCCACGGCUCAACCGUGGAACUGCUGGGCAUACUGCGGGUCUUGGGCCAACUAGGGGCAGCCGGAACAAGCGGUGGAGCGGUGAAAUGCGUAGAUAUCGCUUGGAACGCCGAAGGUGAAAACAGGCUGCUGGGGUUGCGCCGACGCUGAGGUGCGAGAGCGUGGGGAGCGAACCGG